rnacentral:rRNA from 1 species
GACGAACCGAGCGAACGUUGUUCGGAAUCACUGGGCUUAAAGGGCGCGUAGGCGGGUGCUCAAGUCCGGGGUGAAAUCCUCCAGCUCAACUGGAGAACUGCCUCGGAUACUGGGUGUCUCGAGGGUGGUAGGGGUAUGCGGAACUAUCGGUGGAGCGGUGAAAUGCGUUGAUAUCGAUAGGAACUCCGGUGGCGAAGGCGGCAUACUGGACCAUAUCUGACGCUGAGGCGCGAAAGCCAGGGGAGCAAACGGG